rnacentral:rRNA from 1 species
AGGAAUAUUGGUCAAUGGGCGCAGGCCUGAACCAGCCAAGUAGCGUGAAGGAUGACUGCCCUAUGGGUUGUAAACUUCUUUUAUAAAGGAAUAAAGUCGGGUAUGUAUACCCGUUUGCAUGUACUUUAUGAAUAAGGAUCGGCUAACUCCGUGCCAGCAGCCGCGGUAAUACGGAGGAUCCGAGCGUUAUCCGGAUUUAUUGGGUUUAAAGGGAGCGUAGAUGGAUGUUUAAGUCAGUUGUGAAAGUUUGCGGCUCAACCGUAAAAUUGCAGUUGAUACUGGAUAUCUUGAGUGCAGUUGAGGCAGGCGGAAUUCGUGGUGUAGCGGUGAAAUGCUUAGAUAUCACGAAGAACUCCGAUUGCGAAGGCAGCCUGCUAAGCUGCAACUGACAUUGAGGCUCGAAAGUGUGGGUAUCAAACAGGAUUAGAUACCCUGGUAGUCCACACGGUAAACGAUGAAUACUCGCUGUUUGCGAUAUACUGCAAGCGGCCAAGCGAAAGCGUUAAGUAUUCCACCUGGGGAGUACGCCGGCAACGGUGAAACUCAAAGGAAUUGACGGGGGCCCGCACAAGCGGAGGAACAUGUGGUUUAAUUCGAUGAUACGCGAGGAACCAUACCCGGGCUUGAAUUGCAGACGAAUUGCUUGGAAACAGGCAAGCCGCAAGGCGUCUGUGAAGGUGCUGCAUGGUUGUCGUCAGCUCGUGCCGUGAGGUGUCGGCUUAAGUGCCAUAACGAGCGCAACCCUUAUCUUUAGUUACUAACAGGUCAUGCUGAGGACUCUAGAGAGACUGCCGUCGUAAGAUGUGAGGAAGGUGGGGAUGACGUCAAAUCAGCACGGCCCUUACGUCCGGGGCUACACACGUGUUACAAUGGGGGGUACAGAAGGCAGCUACCUGGCGACAGGAUGCUAAUCCCAAAAACCUCUCUCAGUUCGGAUCGAAGUCUGCAACCCGACUUCGUGAAGCUGGAUUCGCUAGUAAUCGCGCAUCAGCCACGGCGCGGUGAAUACGUUCCCG